GGUUAAGCGACUAAGCGUACACGGUGGAUGCCUAGGCAGUCAGAGGCGAUGAAGGGCGUGCUAAUCUGCGAAAAGCGUCGGUAAGCUGAUAUGAAGCGUAAUAACCGACGAUACCCGAAUGGGGAAACCCAGUGCAAUUCGUUGCACUAUUGCAUGGUGAAUACAUAGCCAUGCAAGGCGAACCGGGGGAACUGAAACAUCUAAGUACCCCGAGGAAAAGAAAUCAACCGAGAUUCCCCCAGUAGCGGCGAGCGAACGGGGAAGAGCCCAGAGUCUGAAUCAGUUGGUGUGUUAGUGGAAGCGUCUGGAAAGUCGCACGGUACAGGGUGAUAGUCCCGUACACAAAAAUACACUGGCUGUGAACUCGAUGAGUAGGGCGGGACACGUGACAUCCUGUCUGAAUAUGGGGGGACCAUCCUCCAAGGCUAAAUACUCCUGACUGACCGAUAGUGAACCAGUACCGUGAGGGAAAGGCGAAAAGAACCCCGGCGAGGGGAGUGAAAUAGAACCUGAAACCGUGUACGUACAAGCAGUGGGAGCACCUUCGUGGUGUGACUGCGUACCUUUUGUAUAAUGGGUCAGCGACUUAUAUUUUGUAGCAAGGUUAACCGAAUAGGGGAGCCGUAGGGAAACCGAGUCUUAACUGGGCGUCUAGUUGCAAGGUAUAGACCCGAAACCCGGUGAUCUAGCCAUGGGCAGGUUGAAGGUUGGGUAACACUAACUGGAGGACCGAACCGACUAAUGUUGAAAAAUUAGCGGAUGACUUGUGGCUGGGGGUGAAAGGCCAAUCAAACCGGGAGAUAGCUGGUUCUCCCCGAAAGCUAUUUAGGUAGCGCCUCGUGAACUCAUCUUCGGGGGUAGAGCACUGUUUCGGCUAGGGGUCCAUCCCGGAUUACCAAACCGAUGCAAACUCCGAAUACCGAAGAAUGUUAUCACGGGAGACACACGGCGGGUGCUAACGUCCGUCGUGAAGAGGGAAACAACCCAGACCGCCAGCUAAGGUCCCAAAGUCAUGGUUAAGUGGGAAACGAUGUGGGAAGGCAUAGACAGCCAGGAUGUUGGCUUAGAAGCAGCCAUCAUUUAAAGAAAGCGUAAUAGCUCACUGGUCGAGUCGGCCUGCGCGGAAGAUGUAACGGGGCUAAACCAUGCACCGAAGCUGCGGCAGCGACGCUUAGGCGUUGUUGGGUAGGGGAGCGUUCUGUAAGCCGUUGAAGGUGGCCUGUGAGGGCUGCUGGAGGUAUCAGAAGUGCGAAUGCUGACAUAAGUAACGAUAAUGCGGGUGAAAAACCCGCACGCCGGAAGACCAAGGGUUCCUGUCCAACGUUAAUCGGGGCAGGGUGAGUCGACCCCUAAGGCGAGGCUGAAAAGCGUAGUCGAUGGGAAACAGGUUAAUAUUCCUGUACUGGGUGUGACUGCGAAGGGGGGACGGAGAAGGCUAGGCUAGCCGGGCGACGGUUGUCCCGGUUUAAGCAUGUAGGCGGAGCGACUUGGUAAAUCCGGUUGCUUAUCA
rnacentral:rRNA from 1 species